UAGGGAAUCUUCGGCAAUGGACGAAAGUCUGACCGAGCAACGCCGCGUGAGUGAAGAAGGUUUUAGGAUCGUAAAACUCUGUUGUUAGAGAAGAACAAGGACGUUAGUAACUGAACGUCCCCUGACGGUAUCUAACCAGAAAGCCACGGCUAACUACGUGCCAGCAGCCGCGGUAAUACGUAGGUGGCAAGCGUUGACCGGAUUUAUUGGGCGUAAAGCGAGCGCAGGCGGUUUCUUAAGUCUGAGGUGAAAGCCCCCGGCUCAACCGGGGAGGGUCAUUGGAAACUGGGAGACUUGAGUGCAGAAGAGGAGAGUGGAAUUCCAUGUGUAGCGGUGAAAUGCGUAGAUAUAUGGAGGAACACCAGUGGCGAAGGCGGCUCUCUGGUCUAUAACUGACGCUGAGGCUCGAAAGCGUGGGGAGCAAACAGG
rnacentral:rRNA from 1 species